rnacentral:rRNA from 1 species
ACCUCGGGACUGAGGACAAACCGCGAUAGGUGUCAAGCACUGGAAUGUCUGACAUCAAAAUAUGAAGGCCUGUAUUCGGCUCAAUGCCCUAAGAGGAGUCUGCGGCGGAUUAGCCUGACGGUAGGGUAACGACCUACCGUAGCUACGAUCUGUACCGGCAUUGGGAGAUGGAGCCGGGAGAUGGACACUGAGACAAGGGUCCAGGUUCUACGGAGCGCAGCAGUCGCGAAACCUUCGCAAUGCGCGCAAGCGUGACGAGGGGACCCCAAGUGCGCAUGUACAACAUGCGCUUUUACGAAGUGUAGGCAGCUUCGGGAAUAAGGGCUGGGUAAGACUGGUGCCAGCCUCCGCGGUAACACCAGCAGCUCAAGUGGUGAUCGUGUUUACUGGGUUUAAGGCGUGCGUAGUCGGUUCGGCAAGUCUUCUGUGAAAUCCUGCGGCUCAACCGCAGGGAUUGCAGAAGAUACUACCGUGCUUGAGGCCGGGGUAGGUGUGGGGUAUUCUAGGGGUAGCGGUGAAAUGCUAUAAUCCCUGGAGGACCACCCGUAGCGAAGGCGCCACACUGGAACGGGCCUGACGAUGAGGUACGAGAGCUAGGGGAGCGAACAGGAUUAGAUACCCUGGUAGUCCUAGCCGUAAACGAUGUGGGUUUAGUGUCCCCUAAACUUCGUGUUUGGGGGGUGCUGAAGGGAAACCGUUAAACCCACCACCUGGGGAGUACGGUCGCAAGGCUGAAACUUAAAGGAAUUGGCGGGGGAACACCACAAGGGGUGGAUGCUGCGGUCAAUG